rnacentral:tRNA from 1 species
GCCGGAGUGGCGGAACUGGCAGACGCACAGGACUUAAAAUCCCGCGGUCCCCAUAAGACCGUACCGGUUCGAUUCCGGUCUCCGGCACCA